CAGCGGAGGAAAAUCCUCAGACGGAGGCGAGCAGUUAUGGGAGAUGCGAAAAUCACAGGGGAGCGUGGAACCCACGUCACAACUUGCGCCCGAGAACAUCACACGGGAGAGAAGCUGCGUCCUCAGUGAAUGGUAUCCCAGGAAAGCACAGCCGCACCAAGCGUCAGAUAAGCCAUUCUGAGCUCAGUCUUUGGAAGGACCACCGGCUCCACAUGGCCGGGCAGAUGCAGCCGGCUCCCGCCUCCUCCGACGGGAACCCAGGGAGCCGGUAGGUUCUCACCCUUACAGCGGAUCGGCUGAGAGAACGCGGCAUUCAGCCGAGAAGCCCCGGGGAGCCCAAGCAGCGGAGCCGAGGCCGCCACGCAGCCCGCGCGGAGAAAUCGGAUCUGCAGCUCCCGCGCGGGGAAAGGGUGGGUGAGAGACCCCGGGGCUCCGCAGUACCCCCACGGACUUCACAGCUCCUGACCCUCGCGGGCCUCCGGACUAGCGGGCAGCGGCCGAGAGAUUCCCCAGCGGCGUGGCGGGAGCCCACGUGGAGCCCACGUGGAGCCCACGGGCUUCCCUGCCCUGAGCCGCUGCAGCUGCAGCCCCCGCCAGCCCGAGUCCCGAGUCCGGCCCGGAGGGCAGCUCCUGCCGGGCCUGGGGAAGAAGUCCUCCCCUAGGAAGCGAUUUCACAAACUUGGAAGAAGCAAUUUACACAGGAGGGGCAGAUCUCAACAGAAGGACAGGAGAGACAUGAAAAAGCAAGGAAAUGGGACGCCUCCAAAGGAACCCAGUAAUUUUCCAGCAACAGAUGCCCAACCAAAAGAAACUGAAAAAUUGUCAGAGAAUUGGGCAUAUUAAUUUUAACCAAGAUUAGGAGGAUACAAGAGACUUCUGAAAAAGAAAGGAACAAAAUGUCGCCAGGCGCGGUG